UACGGCGCAGGCCAGCCUGCGGUGGAGAUAUGUAUAUAGACAAGGCUGUUUUAUUAAGAGUUGCUGCAGACAUAUUAAGGAUGUGAUGGAAGCGCUGAAUCAGUGCUACGGAUGAUUGACAUGAAGAGGGAGAUAAAACCGACCAAUCAGGCGUUCUGUCCAUCAGGACUGACAGUUUUUACAUUUAGAGACUUGCAGAAGAUCACUAUGGAGUAUGGCGCUUUCCAAGAAAGAAAAAAUAUCUCUCAUGACUGCAGAGAUGGAGCGAGAACAGCUAGACAGAGGUGACCAGAAAGGGGGGACUCUUUUCACCACUGCGUCGCUGACACACCCCUUGGUGCUGGGAGCUUCUUCUUUUUUUUUUUUUUUUUUUAAAGCCAGUGGUUUUAAUGACAUUGCCAUUUCUGUGCUUGUUUGGUCAUAUGUUUGUGUAAAAGUAUAACUGUGCUUGCACUUAAAAGAGGACUAUUCUUUUUUUUCUUUAACUGUGACAUGGCAAAUGAGGGAAAACCAAGCUAACAAGGACAAAGUUCUGCUUGAAAUCAUUAAAAUGCUGGAAAUGAUAACUGGCUAUACAAGUUGCACAGAAGCAAUGAAGAAUAAAAAGGGGUUUGGAAGACAGGUGUGUGUG